rnacentral:rRNA from 1 species
CCUACGGGUGGCAGCAGUGAGGAAUAUUGGUCAAUGGGCGCGAGCCUGAACCAGCCAAGUAGCGUGAAGGAUGACUGCCCUACGGGUUGUAAACUUCUUUUAUAAAGGAAUAAAGUGAGGCACGUGUGCCUUUUUGUAUGUACUUUAUGAAUAAGGAUCGGCUAACUCCGUGCCAGCAGCCGCGGUAAUACGGAGGAUCCGAGCGUUAUCCGGAUUUAUUGGGUUUAAAGGGAGCGUAGAUGGGUUGUUAAGUCAGUUGUGAAAGUUUGCGGCUCAACCGUGAAAUUGCAUUUGAUACUGGCGGCCUAGAGAGCAGUUGCGGUAGGCGGAAUGCAUGGUGUAGCGGUGAAAUGCUUAGAGAUCACGAAGAACUCCGAUUGCGAAGGCAGCCUACUAAACUGCCUCUGACAUUGAGGCUCGAAAGUGUGGGUAGCAAACAGGAUUAGAUACCCCAGUAGUC